rnacentral:rRNA from 1 species
UACGGAGGGUGCAAGCGUUAUCCGGAUUCACUGGGUUUAAAGGGUGCGUAGGUGGGCAGGUAAGUCAGUGGUGAAAUCUCCGGGCUUAACCCGGAACUGCCGUUGAUACUAUCUGUCUUGAAUAUAGUGGAGGUGAGCGGAAUAUGUCAUGUAGCGGUGAAAUGACUUAGAUAUGACAUAGAACACCCAUUGCGAAGGCAGCUCGCUACACUAUCAUUGACACUGAGGCACGAAAGCGUGGGGAUCAAACAGG